GUAGGGGAGCGUUCUGUAAGCCGUUGAAGGUGGCCUGUGAGGGUUGCUGGAGGUAUCAGAAGUGCGAAUGCUGACAUAAGUAACGAUAAUGCGGGUGAAAAACCCGCACGCCGGAAGACCAAGGGUUCCUGUCCAACGUUAAUCGGGGCAGGGUGAGUCGACCCCUAAGGCGAGGCCGAAAGGCGUAGUCGAUGGGAAACAGGUUAAUAUUCCUGUACUCGGUGUUACUGCGAAGGGGGGACGGAGAAGGCUAUGUUGGCCGGGCGACGGUUGUCCCGGUUUAAGCAUGUAGGCGGAUGUUCCAGGUAAAUCCGGAACGUUAUCAACGCUGAGGUGUGAUGACGAGGCACUACGGUGCUGAAGUGACAAAUGCCCUGCUUCCAGGAAAAGCCUCUAAGCAUCAGGUAACAUCAAAUCGUACCCCAAACCGACACAGGUGGUCAGGUAGAGAAUACCAAGGCGCUUGAGAGAACUCGGGUGAAGGAACUAGGCAAAAUGGUGCCGUAACUUCGGGAGAAGGCACGCUGAUGGUAGGUGAAGCGACUUGCUCGUGGAGCUGAAAUCAGUCGAAGAUACCAGCUGGCUGCAACUGUUUAUUAAAAACACAGCACUGUGCAAACACGAAAGUGGACGUAUACGGUGUGACGCCUGCCCGGUGCCGGAAGGUUAAUUGAUGGGGUUAUCCUCACGGAGAAGCUCUUGAUCGAAGCCCCGGUAAACGGCGGCCGUAACUAUAACGGUCCUAAGGUAGCGAAAUUCCUUGUCGGGUAAGUUCCGACCCGCACGAAAGGCGUAACGAUUUGGGCACUGUCUCAACGAGAGACUCGGUGAAAUCAUAGUACCUGUGAAGAUGCAGGUUACCCGCGACAGGACGGAAAGACCCCGUGGAGCUUUACUGUAGCCUGAUAUUGAAAUUCGGCACAGCUUGUACAGGAUAGGUAGGAGCCUUUGAAACGUGAGCGCUAGCUUACGUGGAGGCGUUGGUGGGAUACUACCCUAGCUGUGUUGGCUUUCUAACCCGCACCACUUAUCGUGGUGGGAGACAGUGUCAGGCGGGCAGUUUGACUGGGGCGGUCGCCUCCUAAAAGGUAACGGAGGCGCUCAAAGGUUCCCUCAGAAUGGUUGGAAAUCAUUCAUAGAGUGUAAAGGCAUAAGGGAGCUUGACUGCGAGACCUACAAGUCGAGCAGGGUCGAAAGACGGACUUAGUGAUCCGGUGGUUCCGCAUGGAAGGGCCAUCGCUCAACGGAUAAAAGCUACCCCGGGGAUAACAGGCUUAUCUCCCCCAAGAGUUCACAUCGACGGGGAGGUUUGGCACCUCGAUGUCGGCUCAUCGCAUCCUGGGGCUGUAGUCGGUCCCAAGGGUUGGGCUGUUCGCCCAUUAAAGCGGUACGCGAGCUGGGUUUAGAACGUCGUGAGACAGUUCGGUCCCUAUCCGUCGUGGGCGUAGGAAAUUUGAGAGGAGCUGUCCUUAGUACGAGAGGACCGGGAUGGACAUACCUCUGGUGUACCAGUUGUCGUGCCAACGGCAUAGCUGGGUAGCUAUGUAUGGACGGGAUAAGUGCUGAAAGCAUCUAAGCAUGAAGCCCCCCUCAAGAUGAGAUUUCCCAACUUCGGUUAUAAGAUCCCUCGAAGAUGACGAGGUUAAUAGGUUCGAGGUGGAAGCGUGGUGACACGUGGAGCUGACGAAUACUAAUCGAUCGAAGACUUAAUCAA
rnacentral:rRNA from 1 species